UACGGAGGGUGCAAGCGUUAUCCGGAUUCACUGGGUUUAAAGGGUGCGUAGGUGGACAGGUAAGUCAGUGGUGAAAUCCCCGAGCUUAACUCCGGGAACUGCCGUUGAUACUAUCUGUCUUGAAUAUCGCGGAGGUAAGCGGAAUAUGUCAUGUAGCGGUGAAAUGCUUAGAUAUGACAUAGAACACCGAUUGCGAAGGCAGCUUACUACACGAUCAUUGACACUGAGGCACGAAAGCGUGGGGAGCAAACAGGA
rnacentral:rRNA from 1 species